UAGCAUAUCAAUAAGCGGAGGAAAAGAAACCAACAGGGAUUGCCCUAGUAACGGCGAGUGAAGCGGCAACAGCUCAAAUUUGAAAUCUGGCUCUUUCAGGGUCCGAGUUGUAAUUUGCAGAGGGCGCUUUGGUGUCGGCAGCGGUCCAAGUUCCUUGGAACAGGACGUCACAGAGGGUGAGAAUCCCGUACGUGGUCGCUAGCCUUCGCCGUGUAAAGCCCCUUCGACGAGUCGAGUUGUUUGGGAAUGCAGCUCUAAAUGGGAGGUAAAUUUCUUCUAAAGCUAAAUACUGGCCAGAGACCGAUAGCGCACAAGUAGAGUGAUCGAAAGAUGAAAAGCACUUUGGAAAGAGAGUCAAAUAGCACGUGAAAUUGUUGAAAGGGAAGCGCUUGCAGCCAGACUUGCCUGUAGUUGCUUAUCCGGACUUUUGUCCGGUGCACUCUUCUGCGGGCAGGCCAGCAUCAGUUUGGGCGGUUGGAUAAAGGUCUCUGUCAUGUACCUCUCUUCGGGGAGGCCUUAUAGGGGAGACGACAUGCAACCAGCCUGGACUGAGGUCCGCGCAUCUGCUAGGAUGCUGGCGUAAUGGCUGUAAGCGGCCCGUCUUGAAACACGGACCAAGGAGUCUAACAUCUAUGCGAGUGUUUGGGUGUCAAGCCCAGACGCGUAAUGAAAGUGAACGGAGGUGGGAACCCUUUGGGUGCACCAUCGACCGAUCCUGAUGUCUUCGGAUGGAUUUGAGUAAGAGCAUGGCUGUUGGGACCCGAAAGAUGGUGAACUAUGCUUGAAUAGGGUGAAGCCAGAGGAAACUCUGGUGGAGGCUCGCAGCGGUUCUGACGUGCAAAUCGAUCGUCAAAUUUGGGCAUAGGGGCGAAAGACUAAUCGAACUAUCUUGUAGCUGGUCUUGCC
rnacentral:rRNA from 1 species